ensembl:snRNA U6 U6 spliceosomal RNA
GUGCUCGCUUUGGCAGCAUAUGUACUAAUUUGGAGCAAUACAGAGAAGAUUAGCAUGGCCCCUGAGCAAGGAUGACUCACAAAUUCAUGAAGUGUCCCAUAAAAAA